UACGAAGGGGGCUAGCGUUGCUCGGAAUCACUGGGCGUAAAGCGCACGUAGGCGGAUUUCUAAGUCGGGGGUGAAAUCCUGGAGCUCAACUCCAGAACUGCCUUCGAUACUGGAAAUCUCGAGUCCGGGAGAGGUGAGUGGAACUCCCGGUGUAGCGGUGAAAUGCGUAGAUAUCGGGAGGAACACCUGUGGCGAAGGCGGCCCCCUGGUCGGAUACUGACGCUGAGACGCGAAAGCGUGGGGAGCAAACAGG
rnacentral:rRNA from 1 species